CCUACGGGUGGCAGCAGUGGGGAAUAUUGGACAAUGGGGGGAACCCUGAUCCAGCCAUGCCGCGUGUGUGAAGAAGGCCCUCGGGUUGUAAAGCACUUUCAGUGAGGAAGAAUGCCUGGUGGUUAAUACCCAUCAGGAAAGACAUCACUCACAGAAGAAGCACCGGCUAACUCCGUGCCAGCAGCCGCGGUAAUACGGAGGGUGCGAGCGUUAAUCGGAAUUACUGGGCGUAAAGCGCGCGUAGGUGGCUUGAUAAGCCGGUUGUGAAAGCCCCGGGCUCAACCUGGGAACGGCAUCCGGAACUGUCAAGCUAGAGUGCAGGAGAGGAAGGUAGAAUUCCCGGUGUAGCGGUGAAAUGCGUAGUGAUCGGGAGGAAUACCAGUGGCGAAGGCGGCCUUCUGGACUGACACUGACACUGAGGUGCGAAAGCGUGGGUAGCAAACAGGAUUAGAUACCCUUGUAGUC
rnacentral:rRNA from 1 species